GAUGAACGCUGGCGGCGUGCCUAACACAUGCAAGUCGAACGUGAGGGGGUAGCAAUAUCUCUGAAAGUGGCGCACGGGUGAGUAAUACGUAGGUGACCUGCCCUGGAGUGGGGGAUAACAGCUAGAAAUGGCUGCUAAUACCGCAUAAUACCGAGUGAUUGGGAAAUUGCACGGUAGAAACUCUGGUGCUUCAGGAGGGGCCUGCGGCCGAUUAGCUAGUUGGCGGGGUAAGAGCCCACCAAGGCAGUGAUCGGUAGCUGGUCUGAGAGGACGAUCAGCCACACGGGAACUGAGACACGGUCCCGACUCCUACGGGGGGGC
rnacentral:rRNA from 1 species